ACCUCUGCAAUAGGCGAAAGCUUGACAGGGUUACUCUGAGUGAUUUCCGUUAAGGAGAUCUUUUGGCACCUCUAAAAAUGGUGCAGAAUAAGGGGUGGGCAAGUCUGGUGUCAGCCGCCGCGGUAAUACCAGCACCCCGAGUGGUCGGGACGUUUAUUGGGCCUAAAGCAUCCGUAGCCGGUUCUACAAGUCUUCCGUUAAAUCCACCUGCUUAACAGAUGGGCUGCGGAAGAUACUAUAGAGCUAGGAGGCGGGAGAGGCAAGCGGUACUCGAUGGUAGGGGUAAAAUCCGUUGAUCCAUUGAAGACCACCAGUGGCGAAGGCGGCUUGCCAGAACGCGCUCGACGGUGAGGGAUGAAAGCUGGGGGAGCAAACCGGAUUAGAUACCCGGGUAGUCCCAGCUGUAAACGAUGCAGACUCGGUGAUGAGUUGGCUUAUUGCUAACUCAGUGCCGCAGGGAAGCCGUUAAGUUUGCCGCCUGGGGAGUACGGUCGCAAGACUGAAACUUAA
rnacentral:rRNA from 1 species